AUCACAUGCAAUUUAAAUAGGAUUGUCAAACACGUAUCUGUAUAGACAGUGUUCCUAUUCUUAAUGAUGCUGCAUAUGGUAAAUACAAUACGAGUGCUUAGUUGCCUUCAACUCUUUCAGAAGAGUGAAGAAACGGCAUGAGACAAAGAGGGACGUUAACAAAAUAAUACUAACGUAAAAAUAAUCAGGUUAAAUCCAUAUUGCUCACCUCUGCGAUUAGAUAAAACAAAAAU